UUUAAAUGAUGAAAUGAUAAUGCAACGAUGAAUCACUAUGAUUAUCAACAAAAUAUCGAGCUUUUUAACUCUGAUGAUA